AGUGAACGCUGGCGGUAGGCCUAACACAUGCAAGUCGAACGGCAGCACAGUAAGAGCUUGCUCUUACGGGUGGCGAGUGGCGGACGGGUGAGGAAUACAUCGGAAUCUACUUUUUCGUGGGGGAUAACGUAGGGAAACUUACGCUAAUACCGCAUACGACCUACGGGUGAAAGCAGGGGAUCUUCGGACCUUGCGCGAUUGAAUGAGCCGAUGUCGGAUUAGCUAGUUGGCGGGGUAAAGGCCCACCAAGGCGACGAUCCGUAGCUGGUCUGGGAGGAUGGUCAGCCACACUGGAACUGAGACACGGUCCAGACUCCUACGGGAGGCAGCAGUGGGGAAUAUUGGACAAUGGGCGCAAGCCUGAUCCAGCCAUACCGCGUGGGUGAAGAAGGCCUUCGGGUUGUAAAGCCCUUUUGUUGGGAAAGAAAAGCAGCAGGUUAAUACCCCGCUGUUCUGACGGUACCCAAAGAAUAAGCACCGGCUAACUUCGUG
rnacentral:rRNA from 1 species